ensembl:lncRNA
CAAAAUAAAAGGUCUUAUGAUCUAUCAACUUCUUUGAGGAACUCCAACUACUUCUUCUGUCCAUGAAUCAUCUAAAUUGUAUAUAGAAGUUCUGCUCCAAAAGGAACACCUCCUAUUUUAUGAUGUUGGCCCACGACGUCAGAGAAAGAUGUUGGUGGUAUUGGCAGUAGAGGCUGAACCUUCCCACCAAUGUUGCAUUACAUUUUGUUGCUGUGUGACGGAUGGCAGCAGUGGGGCAGUCUGACAAAUGGCGUCUGACAUGGAAGUGUGUAUGGAGCAAAGGUGUGAAACUGAACUUCUCCAUGCAGAAAAAAAUGGAACUCACUGGCAUUCAUCGACACUUGCUCAACAUUUAUGGAGACCACACAGUGGAUGCGAGCACAGUGAGGUGGUGGAUGGUGCAUUUCAGCAGUGGCAACGUGAGAUGCCUUCUGCCUUCUUCCCGCUCAUGUGGCUGCAGGCCCUCUGGAACAGAGCUCCAGACCAGAUGCAGCCCAUGGGCCACAGAUUCCCACCCUGACCAAAAAGGGAAGCUUUCUCCUGGAAGGAUGAUGGCAGAGGAGAAAAUGCA